AAUUUUGAAACACUAUAAAUUCUCUUAAAAAUUUGUUAUUAACACGUGUAAUUUGUUCGCUUACACUUAUUCCGACGACGGUCAGUAAAAAAUGAGAAAAUUCACAAAGUGCGCCACACACUACCAACAAAUCUCAGUUUUCUAAUUUAUCUUUCGAGGCAUAUGCGGCGCUUGCGGCAACGCCUGAAAGCACGGGUAUGGAGUUAGGGCGUGUUCGAGCUGCGGCAUCACCUUCUGCCACUAAAUUUCUGCAACAAUGGCAGUGUCACCCGUUCUGCCACUAAAUUUCUGCAACAAUGGCAGCGUCACCCGUUCUUUGAAUAAAAUUCUGACAAUCUGAUAGUCAACACUAGCUAAUUAAGCGCAAUAUCCAAGUUUUCACUGCGGAUUUGGAAUGGAAGAGGAAUACGCAAAAUUAAGUACAAAUGCAACUAAGUUAUCGGUCUUUUUUUUUGUGUUUUUUUUUGUUCAAACAACACGAUUCUCGCGAAAUAACUUCUACAACAGGCCAUCAGAAAAGUAACAGCGACGUAAUAUCGCUGUAAUUAUUGAGUGAGGCAAAAACAUCCAAAUUGGGCCGUAUGAAUCGAAAAUCACAAAAAAUCAUGCGGCAUCCGCGUUUGGUAUAUUUGUAUAUAAUAUAUUGUAUAAUGUGGUAUUUUUCCGUUAAUACGGAAUUUUAUGUAACUCAAUU